CCUACGGGAGGCAGCAGUGGGGAAUCUUGCGCAAUGGGCGAAAGCCUGACGCAGCCAUGCCGCGUGAAUGAUGAAGGUCUUAGGAUUGUAAAAUUCUUUCACCGGGGACGAUAACGACGGUACCCGGAGAAGAAGCCCCGGCUAACUUCGUGCCAGCAGCCGCGGUAAUACGAAGGGGGCUAGCGUUGCUCGGAAUUACUGGGCGUAAAGGGAGCGUAGGCGGAUAGCUUAGUCAGAGGUGAAAGCCCAGGGCUCAACCUUGGAAUUGCCCUUGAUACUGGCUAUCUUGAGUACGGAAGAGGUAUGUGGAACUCCGAGUGUAGAGGUGAAAUUCGUAGAUAUUCGGAAGAACACCAGUGGCGAAGGCGACAUACUGGUCCGUUACUGACGCUGAGGCUCGAAAGCGUGGGGAGCAAACAGGAUUAGAUACCCUGGUAGUCCACGCUGUAAACGAUGAGUGCUAGUUGUCGGCAUGCAUGCAUGUCGGUGACGCAGCUAACGCAUUAAGCACUCCGCCUGGGGAGUACGGUCGCAAGAUUAAAAACUCAAAAGAUAGUAGGACGNGAGAGAGCGACGACGACGACGACGGAGGAGGAG
rnacentral:rRNA from 1 species